rnacentral:rRNA from 1 species
CAGUAGCCGCGGUAAUACAGAGGGUGCGAGCGUUAAUCGGAUUUAUUGGGCGUAAAGCGUGCGUAGGCGGCUUUUUAAGUCGGAUGUGAAAUCCCUGAGCUUAACUUAGGAAUUGCAUUCGAUACUGGGAAGCUAGAGUAUGGGAGAGGAUGGUAGAAUUCCAGGUGUAGCGGUGAAAUGCGUAGAGAUCUGGAGGAAUACCGAUGGCGAAGGCAGCCAUCUGGCCUAAUACUGACGCUGAGGUACGAAAGCAUGGGGAGCAAACAGGAUUAGAUACCCCUGUAGUCCCUGUCUCUUAUAA